CAUGUGCUAUCUAUGUAUGUAUGUAUGUAUGUAUGUAUGUAUGUAUGUAUGAUUUAACAAUUUAUACUUUCCAAAUAAACAACUGCACCAUAUGCAUGCAUGUGCAUGGGAUAUAGCCUAAAGAAAAUAUUGAAGACAAAAAUCUGCAUUACACAAAUAACAGUUUUAUUGAAACCACAGAGACCUUCCUUUCAUUUUCUACAUUUGUCAGUACUCUACUCAGCACCGACUGCUUCAACCAGAACGCAUGCCAAAGGCGAUGGAGCAUAAUCCCUUGAGUAGGAAGCUGAGAUUCAGGCGCGAGGAGAGGACAGGACAUGUAAGAGACACUAGCAACAAGGAGGCUGAUAGGUCCUGACCUAUAGUCCUAACUCAUACUCCUAAUCAGUAGGUGGCGGUACUGCACCUAAAAGUUGUUUGCUAACCACCAGUAAAACUCGAGAAGGAGAAUGAUCGUUGGCAUGCUCUCAACCCAGGGAAACUUCAAGCUUUACAAGAUGCUGUUUUAAACCAGUUUCCAAGGCCAAAGCUGAUGUUAGAAAAUCCAUCAACAGUAGAAUAUGCGAGCUAGACACCAGGUGAAGUGCAAAAGCAUGGGUAUAUAAGUCAUUUAAAUCAGUGAAGAGCCAAGAUGGACUCCUAAUCAGGAUAAAGGCCUGUUCUUUUGGCAAUUUAUUUCUUUGCUUUUCCAUGUUGCCAAAGCUCCUUGAAAGUUUGUUUAUUAUUUAUUUAUCUAUUUUUGUCUGUGCAUUUUGUUUAUAUUGUAUUUUUAACUGUAUAACGGCACUGCUGAAAGUUUUAAAUAAAUAGACAUUGGUAAUUUAAAUUGCUUUAAUUUAUAUUUUGUAUAUUUUCUGUUUAAUGUCACUCUUUUAACAUGUAAUUUAUGUAAAUGUAAUGCAAGACAUUUAUGUAAUGUAAAGCAAAUCACAUUGUCUGACCAUGUGCAAAACCUCUUGUGGUUGUAAUAGGUCUGUUUAGCUCUCUACCUCAAAUUGGUUUUAGUAUGUGUGCCUGAUUAAAAGAAAAUAAAGGUGGCUUUUGAUAGAUUA